rnacentral:rRNA from 1 species
GACGAACGCUGGCGGCGUGCUUAACACAUGCAAGUCGAACGGAAAGGCCCUGCUUUUGUGGGGUGCUCGAGUGGGGAACGGGUGAGUAACACGUGAGUAACCUGCCCUUGACUUUGGGAUAACUUCAGGAAACUGGGGCUAAUACCGGAUAGGAGCUCCUGCUGCAUGGUGGGGGUUGGAAAGUUUCGGCGGUUGGGGAUGGACUCGCGGCUUAUCAGCUUGUUGGUGGGGUAGUGGCUUACCAAGGCUUUGACGGGUAGCCGGCCUGAGAGGGUGACCGGCCACAUUGGGACUGAGAUACGGCCCAGACUCCUACGGGAGGCAGCAGUGGGGAAUAUUGCACAAUGGGCGGAAGCCUGAUGCAGCAACGCUGCGUGCGGGAUGACGGCCUUCGGGUUGUAAACCGCUUUCGCCUGUGACGAAGCGUGAGUGACGGUAAUGGGUAAAGAAGCACCGGCUAACUACGUG